rnacentral:rRNA from 1 species
UACGUAGGGGGCAAGCGUUGUCCGGAAUCAUUGGGCGUAAAGCGCGUGUAGGCGGCCAGAUAAGUCCGCUGUGAAAACUCGAGGCUCAACUUCGAGCGGUCGGUGGAAACUUUCUGGCUAGAGUCCGGAAGAGGAGAAUGGAAUUCCUGGUGUAGCGGUGAAAUGCGCAGAUAUCAGGAAGAACACCCGUGGCGAAGGCGGUUCUCUGGGACGGUACUGACGCUGAGACGCGAAAGCGUGGGGAGCAAACAGG